rnacentral:rRNA from 1 species
GAAUUCGCCCUUAGAGUUUGAUCCUGGCUCAGGACGAACGCUGGCGGCGUGCCUAACACAUGCAAGUCGAGCGGAGACAGUGAGUAGCUUGCUAUGAGCUGUUUUAGCGGCGGACGGGUGAGUAACGCGUGAGCAACCUUUCCCAGACAGGGGAAUAACACACCGAAAGGUGUACUAAUACCGCAUAAGACCACGGGAUCACAUGGUUCUGGGGUAAAAGAAUUAUCGGUUUGGGGUGGGCUCGCGUCCGAUUAGGUAGUUGGUGAGGUAACGGCCCACCAAGCCGACGAUCGGUAGCCGACCUGAGAGGGUAAUCGGCCACAUUGGGACUGAGACACGGCCCAAACUCCUACGGGAGGCAGCAGUGGGGAAUAUUGGGCAAUGGAGGAAACUCUGACCCAGCAACGCCACGUGGAGGAAGAAGGUUUUCGGAUCGUAAACUCCUGUCCUUGGAGACGAGUAGAAGACGGUAUCCAAGGAGGAAGCCCCGGCUAACUACGUGCCAGCAGCCGCGGUAAUACGUAGGGGGCAAGCGUUGUCCGGAAUAAUUGGGCGUAAAGGGCGCGUAGGCGGCUCGGUAAGUCUGGAGUGAAAGUCCUGCUUUUAAGGUGGGAAUUGCUUUGGAUACUGUCGGGCUUGAGUGCAGGAGAGGUUAGUGGAAUUCCCAGUGUAGCGGUGAAAUGCGUAGAGAUUGGGAGGAACACCAGUGGCGAAGGCGACUAACUGGACUGUAACUGACGCUGAGGCGCGAAAGUGUGGGGAGCAAACAGGAUUAGAUACCCUGGUAGUCCACACUGUAAACGAUGAAUGCUAGGGGGUAGGGGGUAUCAACCCCUUCU